AUCUUGGCUUUGUUUCAAUUGGGUUUGAUGUUUUAGUCAGCUUACUAAAUUAUUUAUUGUUUGCUUUUGUUCAUAUACAAUUUUGCCUGUACAGGUUGAUUUGGUUUCUACAAUUCACAUUGCAGAUAAAGAGCAUGUCCUACUUUGUUUGAAUAUGGUUUUUUCAUUUCUCUGGUGUUGUUUAAGAUUGAUUACAGACGGUGUGUAUAUCUGAUCUUAUAUGAAGGCUACAUUUAUUUUUAAAUUAUUUGGUACUUCUGGAUAUAUUGAUGUUAUUACAAAUUGUAUUUAGCUCAAUCUACUUGAUUAGAUAUUGUGAUUUUUCUAGCUUUCUUCAUUGCACUUUUUUUUUUGGUUCUUAUACAUAUCUUGCCUGACAAUCAAUUCUGGCUAACAGCUUUACCUGAUGUCUGUUUCCUAGCUGUAUGGAUCAAAAUUUGAGCUUUGAAAAUUCUUAAGCAGCUAUUUGUAUUUGUCACUAAAAGAAUCAUUUUUGUUUAUGCUGUUGGGAUUCCCCGGAAUCUCUAUCCACUCAUUUUAGGAGCUUCUUGAAAGGGCAAGGAUUAAGUUUUGGCUUGAGCCACCUAUAAAAUUAUUAUUGGUGAUGUCUGCAACCACUGUUAGCUGUAAUAAGUUGGUUUUUUAUUCUCCCAUUUCCUGAAUUACUCUGCAGAUAGUUUGCGACCCUCCAGAAGGAUCUUGAACAAUAUGAUUGUGUCUUUUAUGAGAUGGUGGCUAGCAGGGAGAGUUUGGAAAGUAGAAGAAUCCUGUUGCUAAAAAGAGAAUGAAAGGAGGUUCACGCUCAAGAGGAUUUAACAUUUUAGGGUGCAUUCAGCGACAAAUGGCUUGAAUCCUUACGCUUGAUUUCCAAUUAGACUGUUUUGAUUACCAGUUAGAGAAUUGGUAUCAUGCUGAUCUUGGCUUAUGGGACUUUCAAGUUACUUCAGCUUCUUGGAGUCUGGGAUUAGUGAUGAAAAGUCUGAUUUGAGGAGUGUGUGAAUUGAGAAAUGAACAGUUGGAGGGGAAAGUGAAAAAUUAAGUUAGAAAAUGAUGUAAAAUAGCAAGAAGUAGACUUUAAAAAUUGAGAAGUAGUGUCAUCUUCACAGUUCAACAACAUAAAUUGAUAUGGGCUGCUGCUUUUCGAAUCACAUAUAUAAUUCCAGGGGUGCCAAUAGGGAUUUGGGGAAGAGGUUGCGCUUCUAUUAGUUUCUGGAACAUUAAAAUGAAAUAUAUGUUGUUACUAUAUCAUUGAAAUGUGUUGCAACCAUAUCCCUGUUGAGAAUAUAAUGCUUUCUUUGGAUA